CAACACGUAUCAUAUAUAUAUAUAUAUCUAUUAUUAAUUAAUCUAUAUGAAUCCCGAAUAUUUAUUGUUACGUGGCAAGUUUUCUUUCACCCUCAUUAAUAUAGACUCUUUUUCUUUUUUUCACCGAACUUUCAAUAUGUAUUUUAACGAUCUCACUAACCAAACUUUCAAUUAGUGCCUUUAAAUGGUCUACUACCAUCUACAAUUCUAUCAUUUCUAUCUAACCCUUUUCCUUCCCUUCAUUAUACUUUCAAUUAAUACAAACAGUUCUAGUACCAAACUUUCAAUUAGUAUAUUUAAAUGGUUCCACUAUUAUCUAUAAUUAUAAUCCCUCUAUCUCUAAUUAUUCAUCAUGACCAUUUUUCUUUUCUCCACCGAACUUUCAAUUCUUUAUUUUCAAUCUAUCAAUUCUCUAUCUCUCUUCUUUUACUAUACACCAUCGCCUUCUCCCCCCGCUCCCUCCCUCUCUCUCACUAAUGCGCGUCCACUCUCCCCCUCCGCUGCGGUAGGAGGGAUCAUCGUCACAGUCACAUCACCAUCGCCGAAGAAGAUAUCGUCGGGUCCAUAUCCGCCACCAACAGUAAGAAAUAUUUGGUGGAUGUAUCAAGUGAGAUACAUAAGAAAAUAUCUAUAUUUUAUUAUUACUAAUUACUACUACGGUUUCUACCCGCUGCUAAGCGCGGACCCCUUCACUAGUUAUUAAUUAUAUCAUUAUGAUACUUCAUUA
rnacentral:lncRNA from 1 species